rnacentral:rRNA from 1 species
GAUGAACGCUGGCGGCGUGCCUAAUACAUGCAAGUCGAGCGAACGGACGAGAAGCUUGCUUCUCUGAUGUUAGCGGCGGACGGGUGAGUAACACGUGGAUAACCUACCUAUAAGACUGGGAUAACUUCGGGAAACCUGAGCUAAUACCGGAUGAUAUUUUGAACCGCAUGGUUCAAAAGUGAAAGACGGUCUUGCUGUCACUUAUAGAUGGAUCCGCGCUGCAUUAGCUAGUUGGUAAGGUAACGGCUUGCCAAGGCAACGAUGCAUAGCCGACCUGAGAGGGUGAUCGGCCACACUGGAACUGAGACACGGUCCAGACUCCUACGGGAGGCAGCAGUAGGGAAUCUUCCGCAAUGGGCGAAAGCCUGACGGAGCAACGCCGCGUGAGUGAUGAAGGUCUUCGGAUCGUAAAACUCUGUUAUUAGGGAAGAACAUAUGUGUAAGUAACUGUGCACAUCUUGACGGUACCUAAUCAGAAAGCCACGGCUAACUACGUG